CAUUUUGUGAGGAGUUGAGAUCCUCCGUAGUGGAAACAAGGAAACACUUACGCCUGAUCUCACGA
rnacentral:sRNA from 20 species